rnacentral:lncRNA from 1 species
CGCAUAAAUUGUUCAUCCAGUUCGACCAAGCCUAAUCUGGGGGGCUCAGAGGCAAAACAACCCAAGCCCGUCACUAUGCAAAGAACCUCCCAAGAGAGAACACGAGAUCGUUUUACAAGAAUCAGAUUUACACCAAGAAAAAUCAGAUCAUUGACUUUACAAAUAGCCUCACAAUAUUAGCCCUAAUCGACCCUGACCUGGACACUAAUGUAGUAUCAAUUUUCAGUUUAAAAAUCUGACCAAACAGACCAAAGAACUCGCUGCCGGAAAAACACAAAGUUCCAGCCAACCACCAGAUCACCAACUUAGAACACUGUCCUUACUACCAAAAAAUAUGGCCGAAAAGUAAACGUAAUCACAUCAGGAAUUUUCCCCACCAAAGAGAAGAAAAUCGCCAAAAUG